AUCCGAACCAACUCCCAGCUACUAAUAUACAGGGUGUCUCAAAAAAACGCUAUGGAAAUUCAACAGGCUAGCUGUCGUGCAUCAUAAAUCGCAACGAUGAGAAAUGGCCACAUACUCGUCAAAUAAAAAUUGCCGGUCGAAAUCACAUUCUUCCACUGUUGGGAAUUGACAAGACAUUAAUUAUGCAAAGUUAGUCAAUCC